rnacentral:rRNA from 1 species
CCUACGGGUGGCAGCAGUGAGGAAUAUUGGUCAAUGGGCGAGAGCCUGAACCAGCCAAGUCGCGUGAAGGAUGAAGGAUCUAUGGUUUGUAAACUUCUUUUAUAUGGGAGUAAAGUGAGGAACGUGUUCCUUUUUGUAUGUACCAUAUGAAUAAGCAUCGGCUAACUCCGUGCCAGCAGCCGCGGUAAUACGGAGGAUGCGAGCGUUAUACGGAUUUAUUGGGUUUAAAGGGUGCGUAGGUGGUGAAGUAAGUCAGCGGUGAAAGUUUGUGGCUAAAACAUAAAAUUGCCGUUGAAACUGGUUGACUUGAGUAUAUAUGAGGUAGGCGGAAUGCGGGGUGUAGCGGUGAAAUGCAUAGAUAUCACGCAGAACUCCGAUUGCGAAGGCAGCUUACUAAACUAUAACUGACACUGAAGCACGAAAGCGUGGGGAGCAAACAGGAUUAGAUACCCCGGUAGUC